rnacentral:lncRNA from 1 species
UGUAAAGAUCAUCAAAGAAAGAGAAAACUAUUGAUUACUUGACUCACUUGAAGCUUCAGUUCGAGAACGAGCAGAUCAUUGGACAAUAUUCCUGCAUAUAGUUAGGUAUAUGGGCCCCUAUAUGCCCAUUGGUAGUGACAUUAUCCAUUUAUCCAUAUAUUUUCCUUUUAGAUAUGUGAAUGUUAAGCUUCAAGGCCCGAACCAAGGGUGUACUACCUUGCAUAUAGG